GAUGAACGCUGGCGGCGUGCUUAACACAUGCAAGUCGAACGGGGUGCUCAUGACGGAGGAUUCGUCCAAUGGAUUGAGUUACCUAGCGGCGGACGGGUGAGUAACGCGUGAGGAACCUGCCUUGGAGAGGGGGAUAACACUCCGAAAGGAGUGCUAAUACCGCAUGAUGCAGUUGGGUCGCAUGGCUCUGACUGCCAAAGAUUUAUCGCUCUGAGAUGGCCUCGCGUUCUGAUUAGCUAGUAGGCGGGGGUAACGGCCCACCUAGGCGACGAUCAGUAGCCGGACUGAGAGGUUGACCGGCCACAUUGGGACUGAGACACGGGCCCAGACUCCGUACGGGAGGCAGCAGUGGGGAAUAGUUGGGCAAGUGGG
rnacentral:rRNA from 1 species